GCAGCUCCAGGCUGGAAGUUGUUUUCCUUUGAAAAGGUUCCAUUCCUGCCAAUGUUCCAGGGCCGGUGGUGUUUACCUGGUUGCCAUGGAGACCAAGGGUUCCAAGGCGCCUCUAGUCGGUUGGCCCCGCCAUUGCCUUCCUGGCCACCAACAUGGGCAGAGGGCUCUCCAGGCAGGUCCAGUAGGGGCCUGCUUUAUUGCCUCCCUCUACUUUUGCAGAAGGUCAGGACGAGGCACCCAUCUCCGCCGGGUGGGUCCCGAAAACACAGAGAAUGUUCCAAGAGAGCACACUGUAGAAGAUGGAAAGAAGUGAUGGAGAUCAGUGGAGGAAGGGAAAAGUUAACAAAAUUGGUAGUGAAGUGAUCCUCUGCCCUUGCCCCUAUGAAGCAAUAGGUAAUGAGCAAUAUGACUGUCCCAUUCUCAAAAUUAUUUCUGAUAAUAAGAAAAUUGUUCUUGUUGAACAUCGGAGACAGGUCCUUCGGGAAGGCAGUUGAGGGACUGUUUGUUUAUUGAAACUUUUUAUUAUAGGAUACCACUGAAAAGAGGUGUGAAUCUAGUUAUUCAAUAAUUUAUUAGACACAAUUGUGCUUCCUACAUCUGUUUGUAUUUAUUUUUAAUUUCACUCGUUCCUUUUUUAGUGGGUGGAUAGCAGAGUUUUGAAUAAUUCAUGCAGGUGUUUCUUUAUUCUCAAACUGAAAAAAACAGGCAUUGGAUAAGAUCAAAAGAGGGGCAAAAGGUAAAAAAGGAGUAAAAUAAUGGGACAGUAUUUUUCAUUAUGGAGCCCCCAGUGGCACAGCGGAUUAAAGUGCUGAGCUACUGAACUUGCUGACUGAAAGGUCGGUUGUUCCAAUCCAGGGAGCGGGGUGAGCUCAUGCUGUUAGCCCCAGCUUCUGCCAACCUAGCAGUUCAAAAACGUGUAAAUGUGAGUAGAUCAAUAGGUACCAUUCAGACGGGAAGGUAAUCGUCAUGCCGGCCACAUGACCUUGGAGGUGUCUGAGGACAAGGCUGGUUUUUUGACUUAGAAAUGGAGAUGAGCAGCAACCCCCAGAGGCGAACACAACUAGAUUUAACAUCAGGGGAAAACCUUUACCUUUACCUUAUUUUUCAUUGUCAUUCUGUUAAGACUUUUAGCACCAAAUCUUUUGUGACAAUAAGUGCCACCUAAAUGUCAAUUUUUCAACAUAAAUGUAAUCUAUUAACACUUCUCUACUAAUUUUCCUAUCUCUGAAUGUGUGAGAGCAAAUAUUAGCUUUUGUUCUUGGUAUGUACCCUUAAAUCAACUCUACCUUAUGGUGCUCUUAUCAUAGGCAAAAUUUCUUGGGAAGAAUUAUUCAGAGAAGGUUUGCUAUUGCCUUCCUCUUAGAGCGUGUGACUUGCUCAAGAGGGUGUUUUUAAAGCAACCUAUGCUUACAGCAUCUCUUUAAAAACCAUUCAGUGCCAUAGCAAGUAGUAUAGUCAAUUUUUCUACACAUUCUUUUGUAGCAGAACUCACAUGUCCUCAAGGAUACAGAAAUGUAUGGCCCCAAGAGUAGCCAUGUAAAAGCAAUAAUAAGUCUUACACAUCCAUUUAACAGAUUUUUGUUAUUGGGUUCCAAAGAAUGACUUUGUACAACUUCUUCAUAGCCAUGUUGAAAUAUAUCAUAUACUCAUAGGAAAGAGAAGAAAACUUAAAUGAGAUCUAACAUAGUAAAUUGUUAAUCUCAAUAUUAAAUUUUUACCAUUUUA
rnacentral:lncRNA from 1 species